AUCCCGGUGAGGCUCUCCGGAAACAACUGGUCGCCAUUGCUUCGGAAGCUACAAUCAAGGGUUUGUCUUUCUUGAGUUCCAAGUCUAAACCAUUUGCAAAAGCAGUGCAACAUGCUGCGACUUCAUCACAGAAGGUGAAAGCGGGUUUAAUGAGAAGUUUGUUGUUUAAAAUGCACUGCGGGUUCUCCCACCGCAAGACUUAUGAUGCGAAAGAUGCCAUGGCGCUAUCUCCAACAAC